CAAAAACACAUGUGAUGGAUCUGCUCCAAAUUCUCUCAGCUAGGAGACACCAACAACACGGAGGAAGGCAAAGACAUCAGGUUCUUUGAGCCAGCCACCACAUAUUGGCGAUUAGAUAUUAUUAGGCUUAUUGUGGCAGUCAGUCCGGCUGAAGAAAGAACCACAAAAGAAGAGAAAUAUGAUGAAUAUAAUCCUUUGGGAUGAUUAUAUGGCAUUGUUUAAGGAAACAAUGGAAGCACAUGAGUCUGACGUGAACGUUGUUUUUUUCACAUCCACAAGGGUGAGGAAUUUCCUUGGUUAUGUAAUGAGGACGAAUCAGACGAUGUAACACCAUACAUUUCUUUGGAUGUUCUUGAAGACUGAAGAAUUAAUUUGCAAUGGAUUAAGUUUAUAGUUAAAAUAACAUUAGAAUAUAUUUCAGAAUGUUCGUCAGAGUAUGACCAUAUGAUACAUUGUCAAAUUACAUCUUCUUCUCAUAUAUAUG